UCUUUGGUUGUACAAAGUGGUAUGGCUCAUCGAAUAAGCACAUACUGCUUUUCAGCUAAAGGAA
rnacentral:pre_miRNA from 1 species